rnacentral:rRNA from 1 species
CCUACGGGCGGCAGCAGUGAGGAAUAUUGGUCAAUGGACGAGAGUCUGAACCAGCCAAGUAGCGUGAAGGAUGACUGCCCUAUGGGUUGUAAACUUCUUUUAUAUGGGAAUAAAAUGUUCCACGUGUGGGAUUUUGUAUGUACCAUAUGAAUAAGGAUCGGCUAACUCCGUGCCAGCAGCCGCGGUAAUACGGAGGAUCCGAGCGUUAUCCGGAUUUAUUGGGUUUAAAGGGAGCGUAGGUGGAUUGUUAAGUCAGUUGUGAAAGUUUGCGGCUCAACCGUAAAAUUGCAGUUGAAACUGGCAGUCUUGAGUACAGUAGAGGUGGGCGGAAUUCGUGGUGUAGCGGUGAAAUGCUUAGAUAUCACGAAGAACUCUGAUUGCGAAGGCAGUUCACUGGACUGCAACUGACACUGAGGCUCGAAAGUGUGGGUAUCAAACAGGAUUAGAUACCCGAGUAGUC